AUGGACGACAAGGCGCCGAAGCCCAAAACAAAGGCUGCCGUGGCGGCGGCUGCCGCGCCAGCGCCGGCAAGGACGACGCCGGCACUGAAGAAGCCACCCCUCGCGCCCCCGCCUCAGAUGAUCCCGCUAAAACCGCCGCCAGCGCACCAUUACCGACAGCAGCGCGGCGGCGGGGCGCCGCGGAAGCGGCAUCGCAGCGGCAGCGGGUGCUCCGGCCGCCGCGUGUGCUGCCUCGCAACCGGGUUCCUCCUGCUCGCGCUCUGCCUCGCGGUCGCCGCGGCCUGCCUGGCGUACCUCUGCUACCACCCGCGGCCGCCGUCGUUCCACCUCCAGCCGGUCUCGACGACGCGGUUCCGCGUCGGCAACUCCUCCGCGGUGUCGGCCGUGGACGUCACGGCGGCCGUGAAGGUGGUGUCCUGGAACCCCAACGACAAGAUCGCCUUCGAGUACGGCGACGGCGAGGGCCGCGUCUAUCUAGCCGACAGUGACGGCGACAUCACGCUGGGGUGGGCGCCCGUGGGAGGCUUCGAGCACGGCGCCCGGAGGGUGGCGGUCGUCGGGUUCGUGGCGGCCGCGAAGGGGGUGGUGGUCGACGAGGCGGUGGCGGCGCGCGUGCGCGACGGGUACCGGCGGCGGCGGCUCGCGUUCAAGGUGGUCGUGGACACCCACAUGGGCGUCCGGGUCGGGGCCGUGCGCACCGGCAUGGUGCCCGUGAGGCUGUCCUGCGACGACGGCGUCAUGGCGCCGCGCGGCGUCUCCGCCGGGAGCCCAAUGAGCAGGUGCCAGGUGUACCUCCUCAGAAUGACAUGGUUUGGCUUGAACUGA
rnacentral:rRNA from 1 species